UCGAACGAUGAACCUCUUCGGAGGGGAUUAGUGGCGAACGGGUGAGUAACACGUGGGCAAUCUGCCCUGCACUCUGGGACAAGCCCUGGAAACGGGGUCUAAUACCGGAUAUGACGUGCGACCGCAUGGUCUGUACGUGGAAAGCUCCGGCGGUGCAGGAUGAGCCCGCGGCCUAUCAGCUUGUUGGUGGGGUGAUGGCCUACCAAGGCGACGACGGGUAGCCGGCCUGAGAGGGCGACCGGCCACACUGGGACUGAGACACGGCCCAGACUCCUACGGGAGGCAGCAGUGGGGAAUAUUGCACAAUGGGCGAAAGCCUGAUGCAGCGACGCCGCGUGAGGGAUGACGGCCUUCGGGUUGUAAACCUCUUUCAGCAGGGAAGAAGCGAAAGUGACGGUACCUGCAGAAGAAGCACCGGCUAACUACGUGCCAGCAGCCGCGGUAAUACGUAGGGUGCGAGCGUUGUCCGGAAUUAUUGGGCGUAAAGAGCUCGUAGGCGGCUUGUCACGUCGGAUGUGAAAGCCCGGGGCUUAACCCCGGGUCUGCAUUCGAUACGGGCAGGCUAGAGUUCGGUAGGGGAGAUCGGAAUUCCUGGUGUAGCGGUGAAAUGCGCAGAUAUCAGAGGAACACCGGUGGCGAAGGCGGAUCUCUGGGCCGAUACUGACGCUGAGGAGCGAAAGCGUGGGGAGCGAACAGGAU
rnacentral:rRNA from 1 species